GCUGGGACAUAUCUUUCUGUUGUUUAAGUUGCUACUUAGAGACUAAAAACAUGCAGUUCCACGUACUACAGCCCACCAGGCUCCUCUGUCCAUGGGCUUUCCUAGGCAAGAAUACUGCAGUGGGUUGCCAUUUCUUCUCUAGGGGAUCUUCCCAGCCCAGGGAUCAAACCCAUGUCUCCUGCAUUGNNNNNNNNNNNNNNNNNNNNNNNNNNNNNNNNNNNNNNNNNNNNNNNNNNNNNNNNNNNNNNNNNNNNNNNNNNNNNNNNNNNNNNNNNNNNNNNNNNNGCAUUGGCAGGCAGAUUCUUUACCACUGAGCCACCUGGGAAGCCCAACAGUAGCCCCUGACAUCACUAAAUAUAAACUCACCAAGAUCAGCUCGUGGUUUUCAAGACAGGGAGCAGCAGUUGGACCAAGUUAGCUCACAGAGACCUUCCAUGCUCCAGGCUCAUUUGAGCCAAAUGCACACCACCUGGAAAUGAAGGAGCAGCUGAUGGGCUCUGAUGUGUGAUGCCACAAAAUGCCGUAACGAAUCGAGCAGUUCCUAUGUUUCUAGAAAGGAGCCAGGUACUUCUUGGAGGCUUGAAGAGAGGACUCUUCUCCCUGAGCAGUGGCCAAAUCUCAGUCAUAGGUUUUUUCUGGCAGCUUCUUCCUCCUCCACCUUAAUAAAAUGGAGGAACCACUUACCAAGGCCUCCCCUGCAAAAGGUCCUGGAACCGUCUGAUGAUCCAGCCAGUGACUCAGAAUCUGACUUAAUGCAAGGAGUCAUCUCCAUCAAGAUGCUGAUCAGGGCAAAACCAAAAUGGUUAGAAGAUGCCUCCGGGAAAGAGCUGCCUGGACAUUGGGCACAAGGAGCAAAGCAUUUUAACUCAGGCAAACACAACUGAACUAAAAACAGAGCUCAAAGAGAGUGUCUGUAACUCACACCAAGUAUUUAGUAGCUGCAGUUUUCAUUUUUUAUUGCUGAGUUCAAUUCACAAAAACAACAAUAAAUUUAACAUCUGUUCUGUGUCAGCAGUAUGGUAGUCAUCUUUAAGACUGUUAUGUAUUAGAAUAAAUUACAAGAGGCAAUGAAAUCUUAUUGUCAAGACUUCUUUAUUAUUUGGAUAUAGGACAUGCCUAAUCAGAAUAAGUGUAGAACUUUCAAGAAACAAAGAAAUGGAAACAAUUGCCAGCUGGGGUGCUUCCUUGUCUGACCUUUUUUUUUUUGAAAGUUUAAUUUUUUUAUUGAAGCAUAUUUGACUUGCAAUAUUAGUUUCAGGUAUGCAACAUACUUAUUCAAUAUUCGUAUAGUUUACUCCAUUAAAAUUUUUUUCAUUGGAGUAUACUUGCUUUUUUUUUUAUGCAAGCUUUUGUGGUUAUCAUGCCUUAUUACCUGAAACAUUAAUAGCUACAAUGUCAUUUCCUCCACAUCUGGCCCAAUAAUUUAACACAAACAAUGUAGAGGUUAUACCGAGUGUCCAGUUAACUUGGUUGAAUAAGGUCCCAUGAGUGAGAAAAAUGUAUUUGGAACUCCCUUCCUACAAAUGAAACCCUAUCGUCUUCUAUUCAUUAAACAGUUUUCUGAGUUCCUCCAUGGUCCUGGGUAUGUGCGAUGGUAAACAAUACAGACAUAUGGUCUUUACACUGGUGGAGCCUACGGGCAGAGGGUAGAUCCAAAACCAAAUGUAUAAUUACACACUGUAAUAAAUGAAAAGAUGUUUGGCCAAGAAAGCUCAAUACACUGCCUCCCUGUCCUUUUAGUUCUUUUCAGAAACACAAAAGGCAUUCUCCACGGCCCCCUAAUUGUAGCAUUUUUUCUGGGUUUUUGAAUUAGUUGUAAUUAUGUGCAGUUGACAUCUUUGUUCCUGGAGUGCAGCAGCCUGCUUCUCCCAAGGCUAAGUUCUGAGUAUCUGGCAGGCAGGCAGCCUAGACCGACAUGCCACGCAGAGAUGGAGCCCACAGCCAACCUCUUCAACCACUGUGCUCCUGGGAAUGCAGUGCCGAAAAGACACGUAGGCUUCCUAAUCCACCCAUCUAGGUGACAUCUAGGUGAGCCACAAUGACAUAAGCAGGUUCUGAGCAAAACUACAGGUGAGUUCUUUACCACUAGUGCCAUCUUGGAAGCCCAGUGUCAGUUAUGUGGCCUGCUUAUCGACAUUAAAUAAUUUAGCCGACCCCCGC
rnacentral:lncRNA from 1 species